AUAUCAUUUUAGGUUUUGGUAAGUUUUGGGGUUGCAAACAAAGACAGGUAAAAGGAAAGAGAAUGCUGUUUCAGACAAGGUGGUUAGGGCAGGCAGCAGUAACCUGCGUACCCUGGAGAAGUAAGCCACGUGGAGAUGGAGAGUAGAUAACACCAAGCAGAGGGAACAGCAAAUGCAGGGCCCUGAGGGGUCUCGAGGUUGGCAUGUUACAGGAACACAAGGGAGUGUGCAGUUGGAGACAGCCAGGGACCACAUGUACACGGCCUGGUACGCUUUGACAAGGACUUUGGAUCUUACUCUGAGUAUGAGAGAAAGCACUGGGAAGUUUCAAGGAAGUGCCAGACACAGCUUCAGAAUGUGACUCCUUAAAUUCUUCCAUUGGAAGGAAACAGUCUCCUCCUUUAAGCCUCGAGAUAUACCAAACAUUAUCUCCGCGAAAGAUAUCAAGAGAUGAGGUGUCCCUAGAGGAUUCCU
rnacentral:lncRNA from 10 species